CCAAGGUACCUUAAAAUGCUGCUUUCUAAGGUGCCUUCAUUGGGCGGUUUUGAAGGCAACAUCCCAUGUGUCCUUCGCUGGGGAGGCUAUCUCAUAACCCCUUGCGGCGCAUCGAAAAUUCAAAACAAUUCUGAAUUAAUGGUGGACACAAGUCCCCGCUUGGGAGAAGAUGUCCCAGAAGAAUAAGGAAUAACUUGGCGAAAUCUUGAAGGACAUCUCACCCUGACACCCUGCAGAUGCAAAGAACUUGUUGGGAACAUCCCAGCCACCAGGAUAAUCACCAUAUCCCAGGAUUUUAUUAAGGAGUGUGAAACAUCACAAUGUUAGAUAUAAAUAGAUUCACCCAUGUUAUUGUUUAUCAUGCAGAUUCAUUCUAAAAUAAAGACAUGAUUUUCUGUCCCA